CACACAUGUACACAAAACUGUGCAACAUUCGUCAUCAUAUUGUAUCAAUUUGUCGGAGUAUGGCGCUCAUAUUUGUGACAUUGUUUUGUUCGCUUUGGCAACCCUCGUAUAUAUCAGAUGCUGUUCGGCCUCAAAUGCGACUGAAUGAACACUGAUAGUGUUGCCUGGAAUAUGAAAUGAUAUUGACUGAUUGUUCAGUAUAUCAAGGUAGGUACUGUAGUAUACAUUUAUACUGAAUUUAUUCGAUUUAUUUUCACACGUUGCUUUCACAUUUUCCCAGAGUCUCGGAAAUCACAUUUUCAAUUAAACACAGUUUCACACAUGUAUUAUACAAGACUUCAUUUCACACAUACAGAAAGACUUCAUUUCACACAUACAGAAAGACUUUUAAUCAAAUUAUGAUAACAGUAUGAUAAUAUAUGGUAACAGUAGAAAUUGCUUAGAAAGAUUUUAUUCUUUUUUCCAUAUACAGUACAACUGUUAUUUUGAUUUUCUCUUUCCUAUAUUUUCUUUAAUUAAUUAAAGCAAGUACUGUUCUGUUACAAAACAACUAAUAAACAUUUUAUUAUUUUAACAGGUGAACCGUAUUUUACAUCAACUUGGGAAAAGCCAACUUGAAUUCCAUGGAAAUAUAUAAUCAUGUCAUCAAUUAGAUAGUAAACAAUCAUUAAGAAUUAGAUGGCCUCAAGAUUAUAUUUCACAUUGACCAACAUGAAAAUUUUUAAAUGGGAAUGAGUUGAUGGCAUUAUAGUUUUCUAAUGUUCAUCAAGGUGAAGAAACUCACUAUACCUUUCCCUGGUACAGAGCCAUGGUAGUAAUCUUAGAAUAUUUUCAUGAUGCCUCUGUUCAGUAGUU